CUAAUUUUCAUUUUCCCCACUUGCCUCUCAUUUGUGCGGCGGCUGCAGGCAACCAAGAGAGUGAGGCGGGGGCAGCGCCGCCUCCGCCCGUAGCCAUCCUUCUCCCCAAGCAUCCGCCACUCCCCAACCUUCUCCUCCGUCCACUCCCUCCCAUCCACGGCCAUGGAACGUGAAGGCUUCCUCAACGGCGGUCGUUCAGCCAUUGACUGGUUCGGUAGUGGCACCUCCACCAUGGAGCGCGACCGCACGCGAUCGUUGCGGGAGAAUCGGGGCUCAGGCGGCGACCGGGUUGACGGCGGCAGCAGCAUGGAGCGCAGCCACACGCCGCCGAUGAUGGGGCUGGGCUCAGGCAACGCCACGGCUCCGGACGCAAGCAAUGGAGUUGCACGUCCGCAUGCUGGGCAAGUAUUUUAUAGGUCAGCAUUGAUGAAGCCAGAAGGAGUGAAAGUGGCAACCAUUGAUCCAAUAUAGACAUGAAAACAAUGACAUCUAUUAUAUUUGGAACCAUGGCCGUAUGUUCGGUGGAGGAUUUGAGUGUGGGUAUUGCAACCUGAAAAGCAAAGGAGGUUCAACCCGCUUUAGGCAGCAUCUUAGUUGUUUAUCAGGAGAUGUGAGGCAGUGUCCUAACGUUCCAAGAAACAUACGUGAUGUAAUGAGGAAUAGCUGAGCCUGGGAGCAUAAGAGAGUUUUACUUGACGCAAGACUUAAGGGUGGAAAACAAGUCAAUAUUGAACUCUCCUGUUCGUGUUUUGUGGCUGUCAUGUUUGAACUUUGAAAUGCUUCGGUUGUAUUAGCUGUCGAUUUAAAUUUUUACUUGAGGCAAGACUCUAAUGUGGACUCUUAAUCUGUGUUGUUAAUAUCGUUGGACUGGACUAUUGUUGUGCGGUUGGAGUAUUGGACUAUACAUUCUUUUGA